rnacentral:tRNA from 1 species
GGGGCUGUAGCUCAAGGGUAGAGCCCUCAUUUGGCACAUGUGAAACACUGAGUUCAACCCUCAGCAUCACAU